UUACUUUAGCAGCAUAUCUGGUAAAAUUGGACCCAUACAGAGAAGAUUAGCAUGGCCCCUAUGCAAGGAUGACAUGCAAAUUCUUUAAGUGUUUGAUAUUUUU
rnacentral:snRNA from 1 species